ensembl:ncRNA C12C8.8 ncRNA
GAUGCGCGGGAUGAGAUAACUCCACGUGGAUUUGACCUGAAUACCUUUGAAUGAUAACGGAAUGAUAAAGAAGACGGAAGGAAAUAUUAGAGGGAAUUAGGUCACAAUACUUGAUU